UCCUCGUUAGUAUAGCGGUCAGUAUCCCCGCCUGUCACGCGGGAGUCGGGGGUUCGAUUCCCCGACGGGGAG
rnacentral:tRNA from 1 species